UAGUGCGGGCGGGCGGCGCGAGCGCAGGGCGGGCGCGCGGCUUAGUGCGUGUCGCUCCGCCGUGUGAACAGCUCGCUAGGCCAGUAGCUGGCGUAUAUUUUCAACCGCACCGUAGAAACAAAAAGCCGCCACCAUGGACGCGAUCAAGAAGAAGAUGCAGGCGAUGAAGCUGGAGAAGGACAAUGCCAUGGACAAGGCAGAUACCUGCGAACAGCAGGCCAGGGAUGCCAACCUCCGUGCCGAAAAGGUAAACGAGGAAGUCCGUGAACUCCAGAAGAAACUUGCCCAAGUAGAAGAAGAUCUUGUCCUAAACAAGAACAAGCUCGAGCAAGCCAACAAAGACUUAGAGGAGAAGGAGAAGCAGCUGGCCGCUACUGAGGCGGAGGUCGCCUCACAAAACAGGAAGGUGCAGCAGAUUGAGGAGGACCUCGAGAAGUCUGAGGAGAGGUCGGGCACCGCCCAACAGAAACUUCUGGAGGCUCAACAGGCCGCUGACGAGAACAACCGUAUGUGCAAAGUAUUGGAGAACAGGUCACAGCAAGACGAGGAGCGUAUGGACCAACUCACAAACCAAUUGAAGGAAGCCCGUCUCCUCGCUGAGGAUGCUGACGGCAAGUCUGACGAAGUUUCACGUAAGCUGGCCUUCGUUGAAGACGAACUUGAAGUAGCUGAAGACCGUGUCAAGUCUGGUGAUGCCAAGAUCUCAGAACUUGAGGAAGAAUUGAAAGUCGUAGGUAACUCGCUUAAAUCUUUGGAAGUAUCCGAAGAAAAGGCCAACCAGCGUGUAGAAGAAUUCAAAAAGCAGCUGAAGACCCUCACUGUCAAAUUGAAGGAGGCCGAGGCUCGCGCUGAGUACGCCGAGAAGACUGUCAAGAAACUGCAAAAGGAGGUCGACAGGCUCGAAGACACAUUGUUCAACGACAAGGAGAAAUACAAGGCGAUAUGCGAUGACUUGGACAGCACAUUCGCUGAGCUUACCGGAUACUAAUCAAUUCCUUACAUUUAGACUAAGUCGAUACCAUCCCAACGAAUCCGUAUUCCGUACCAACCUAAAUUGCAUUGCCAUUAAUUGCCGAACUUACCUAACUACUGCCCAUUUAAUCUCCAUAUUUAAUAUCAGUUAUCUGUUCAUCUUAUGACCAAACCUCAUCUCUUAACCCAUUUAAUCUAGGAUCGCUUAUAAUUUCAAUUUCUCACUAACUAACCUUAUCAUCGAUAUUUAGAGGAUUGACGCUAACAGGCUUAAUUGUUUGCCUCACGAUUUCUUUGCUCAUAGUUUCCUUAUUGUUUCCAACAUUUUGUAAGUAAAGCUAUUCGAAAGGUGUCAAGCCAUACCCCGUUAGGGUAACAGGGUCUAAUAAAAUCGCCAUUUAUUCUGAUACCUACAGCAUUUUAGGCAAUCCUUUAGAAAUCGUAGUUCAGCCCAGCUUUCUGUGUCGUGACUAAUGUCUUUCGCUUUGCUGUUACCGCCGUGGAUCAAUGCUUUCAAGACGAGUUGGGCAUCAACAAGGACCGGUACAAGAGCUUGGCCGACGAGAUGGACUCCACCUUCGCCGAGCUGGCUGGCUACUAGACGCACCCUUACAUUCACAUCCCAACAUUCACCUGAUAAAGAAAGCGCUUCCAUCGCCGCUACGCGAAUUACUUUAUGUACUCGUGAUGUAAUAUUUAUUAAUAUUAUAUUUGAUAAUAUGAUAUGUAAAUUUAUUUACGAUUUUCAAUAAAAUAAUUUAUAACAACUAUUGUUA